GACGAACGCUGGCGGCGUGCUUAACACAUGCAAGUCGAACGGUGAAGCGAGUGCUUGCCCCCGUGGAUCAGUGGCGAACGGGUGAGUAACACGUGAGUAACCUGCCCAUCACUCUGGGAUAAGCACUGGAAACGGUGUCUAAUACUGGAUACGACCAACCCUUGCAUGGGGUGUUGGUGGAAAGAUUUAUCGGUGAUGGAUGGACUCGCGGCCUAUCAGCUUGUUGGCGGGGUAAUGGCCCACCAAGGCGACGACGGGUAGCCGGCCUGAGAGGGUGACCGGCCACACUGGGACUGAGACACGGCCCAGACUCCUACGGGAGGCAGCAGUGGGGAAUAUUGCACAAUGGGCGAAAGCCUGAUGCAGCGACGCCGCGUGAGGGAUGACGGCCUUCGGGUUGUAAACCUCUUUCAGCAGGGAAGAAGCGAAAGUGACGGUACCUGCAGAAGAAGCACCGGCUAACUACGUG
rnacentral:rRNA from 1 species